CCCUUAGAUGUUCUGGGCCGCACGCGCGCUACACUGACUACUUCAACGAGUUGUUUCCUUGAUCGAAAGGUCUGGGUAAUCUUUGAAAGGUAGUCGUGAUGGGGAUAGAUCCUUGCAAUUUUUGAUCUUCAACGAGGAAUUCCUAGUAAACGCAAGUCAUCAGCUUGCAUUGAUUACGUCCCUGCCCUUUGUACACACCGCCCGUCGCACCUACCGAUUGAAUGGUCCGGUGAAUCUUUAGGACUGUGGCUGAGGCCUUGCCUUGUGCGGGUCUGGCCGUGGGAAUUUAGUUAAACCUUACCACUUGGAGGAAGGAGAAGUCGUAACA
rnacentral:rRNA from 1 species